rnacentral:rRNA from 1 species
AACCUGGUUGAUCCUGCCAGUAGUCAUAUGCUUGUCUUAAAGAUUAAGCCAUGCAUGUCUAAGUAUAAGCAUUUAUACCGCGAGACUGCGAACGGCUCAUUAAAACAGUUAUGGUUUAUUUGAUGGUUCCUUUGCUACUUGGAUAACCGUAGUAAUUCUAGAGCUAAUACAUGCACGAAGGGGCGACUUACGAAGCCCUGUAUUUAUUAGAUUAAAGCCAACCACCUCCGGGUGUUCGUGGUGAAUCAUAGUAACUCCUCGGAUCGCCGGCCCUGCGCCAGCGACGUGUCAUUCAAAUUUCUGCCCUAUCAGCUUUAGAUGGUAGGAUAUGGGCCUACCAUGGCGGUGACGGGUAACGGAGAAUUAGGGUUCGAUUCCGGAGAGGGAGCCUGAGAAACGGCUACCACUUCUAAGGAAGGCAGCAGGCGCGCAAAUUACCCAAUCCUGACUCAGGGAGGUAGUGACAAGAAAUAACAAUAAACCGGCUUAUGCCGGUUUAAUUGGAAUGAGUACAAUUUAAACAUCUUAACGAGGAACAAUUGGAGGGCAAGUCUGGUGCCAGCAGCCGCGGUAAUUCCAGCUCCAAUAGC